rnacentral:rRNA from 1 species
UACGGAGGGUGCAAGCGUUGUUCGGAAUUACUGGGCGUAAAGCGCGUGUAGGUGGCUUAUUAUGUCAGGUGUGAGAGCCCUCGGCCUAACCGAGGAAGUGCGCCUGAAACUGAUAAGCUUGAGUACGAGAGAGGAGGACGGAAUUCCCAGUGUAGAGGUGAAAUUCGUAGAUAUUGAGGAACACCGGUGGCGAAAGCGGUUCUCUGGAUCGAUACUGACACUAAGACGCGAAAGCGUGGGGAGCAAACAGG